rnacentral:rRNA from 1 species
UACGUAGGGUCCGAGCGUUGUCCGGAAUUACUGGGCGUAAAGAGCUCGUAGGUGGUUUGUCGCGUUGUUCGUGAAAACUCACAGCUUAACUGUGGGCGUGCGGGCGAUACGGGCAGACUUGAGUACUGCAGGGGAGACUGGAAUUCCUGGUGUAGCGGUGAAAUGCGUAGAUAUCGGGAGGAACACCGAUGGCGAAGGCAGGUCUCUGGGCAUUAACUGACGCUGAGGAGCGAAAGCGUGGGGAGCGAACAGG